UGAGGAAUAUUGGUCAAUGGGCGCGAGCCUGAACCAGCCAAGUCGCGUGAGGGAAGACGGCCCCUACGGGUUGUAAACCUCUUUUGUCGGGUGAGCAAGGACUGCCACGUGUGGCAGGGCGAGAGUACCCGAAGAAAAAGCAUCGGCUAACUCCGUGCCAGCAGCCGCGGUAAUACGGAGGAUGCGAGCGUUAUCCGGAUUUAUUGGGUUUAAAGGGUGCGUAGGCGGAAGUUCAAGUCAGCGGUAAAAUCGAGGGGCUCAACCCUUCAUAGCCGUUGAAACUGGAUUUCUUGAGUGGGCGAGAAGUGUGCGGAAUGUGUGGUGUAGCGGUGAAAUGCAUAGAUAUCACACAGAACUCCGAUUGCGAAGGCAGCACACCGGCGCCCGACUGACGCUGAGGCACGAAAGCGUGGGGAUCAAACAGGAUUAGAUACC
rnacentral:rRNA from 1 species